rnacentral:misc_RNA from 1 species
CCAAUAAUUAGGAACCAGUUGAGGUUGAUAGAUCUCCUGGUUGCUAAAAUCAAAUACCCAUCUUUGUGCACCUUUUUUAUGUCUCUGGUGGUCGCAAGAGAAGUCUCUUAUUUGGAGGAUCUCUUCUAGUUCAUUUUGAUCCUCGGACAAAUGAAUGAAGCCACCAAAUGGUUGCUAUAACACACUUUUUUGCCGUCCAAAAUAUCUGUCUAACAUUGAUUUGUGUAAAAUACAUAAAA